rnacentral:lncRNA from 1 species
CGGAGGGCAGGUACCGGCGGGUUGGGCGCAAGGUCCCGGCGCAGGACACACUUCCUGUGUGGGGCGGCCUCUCCUCCCGCGCCGCGGGGAACAGGGCGGGGUGUGCAAGCCGGGGUCUCUGGGCGAGGGAGCGCUCGUUUGGGGACCUGAGGCUUUCGUCCCUUUUUCGGGGGAAAGUGGUGGUUUGAAGGAGCGUGGCCAAUCGGGCCGAUCCCUCUCAGGCUACGGCGGGAGGUGCACUGUCCUCUGGACGCCGGAAUGGGAGUGGAAUUUAGUGAGUUGGGGGGCGGUGCCGAGGAGCGGCCGUCUUCCUCUGCUUGUGGGUGGGAUUAUUGUCUGUUUUUGUGGUUGCGGAUACCAAUACGGUCUGCUGGUCUGUAUUCAAUCCUUUAGUUUGACCUUAGGGGUCAGGUCAAAAUUAGGAUUUCCCCCUUUUCCUUUUUGCUUUUUUUUCCUCGAAGAUUAGAUGUCUCUGGUAACUGCUGUAAAAUGGAUGGAAUUUUCGAGCUAUUAUCUAACAGGCUGAUCUUUGAAUGAUAAUUGGACCCUUAUGUUAACAGCCUCAGUGAAGAGUGAAGAGUUUUAUACAGCAUCUUCCGUGGGGUGGCAGUUAGGUGGAUGGGGAAGCUACACUGAAUUCCGACCUGGGAGACCAGGAAUCUGCUUACAGCUUUGACGCCAAAUAAACUGCAGCCCAGGGCAAGUUACUUUCCCUGGUAAUUUUCUCAUCUGUUAAGUGAGGACUCCCGGGUCAGACGGUACAGGGGUUUGUGGUUUUGCUUUUUUAUCUCUCAUUUUGUGCUCUGUUUUAGCCAUAGGCAACUUUUCUGAGAAAUGCAGACUGUACCUUAGCUGGCUUUUAAAAGCCUGUCUUUAAGCUUCCAGCCUCUGCCUUCAACAGAGCAUAAAAGUUGGUCAGGGUACGCUCUUUUUUGAAAUCCCACUUGCUGUUCUGUGCUUCAGAUCAGAAAGUGUAUUAUUCUGACCUAGGUGGAAUGCACCUUAACAUAUUUUUUGUCUUUGUGAAAGAAGUUAUCAGAAAAUGUUUCAGAGAAUAUUUGUCUACUUGGAAAAUGUGUGGAUAACAUGUGAUUGGGUCUGUGUAUGUUGGCUCAGAGGAGUUCCAAGAUCUUUCUACGCAGGGGAUUUUGGAGGAUCCAGAUUUUAUUAAAGUUCUUCAAAGGACAUUUGACAUUUGGCUAACUGUUGAAAUUUCCAGCCAGUUUCAGCAUUCUCAGAGUAGGGGGAUGAAGUAGAAUGCCAUAACAUCUCCUGUGAAAUGGUAUGCUAGUGGAAUUAACUGUCACCUCAGGGUGCACUGAUUAUCUGCAUCCCCAACUUUCUCCUUACUGGUAGCCAGUGCUCCGCAGAUGCUGAAGAACCGCAAUUAGUUUCACUGAUUUUAUGGUGUGUGAAGGCCUUAGGCUGUGCUUUUGACUGGUAAGUAUUUCUAUACCAACCUCAGAAUUUGUCUUAAAUUUCUAGAACUGUGCUGCUGGGCCGGAUAUGAGCCCAAUAUGUUACAAUAUGUCUUUCUCAGAUCACUUUUUAUUUUUAUAUAUUAUUUAAUUUUUAAAAUUAAAUCCCCUUUUAUUUACUUAUUUAUUUUGACACAGUGUUGUUCUGUUGUCCAGGCUGGAGUGCAGUGGCACGAUCUCAGCUCACUGCAGCCUCUACCUCCCAGUUUCAGGUGAUUCUCCUGCGUCAGCCUCCCGAGUAGCUGGGAUUAGAGGCAUACACUACCACACCCGGCUAAUUUUUGUAUUUUAAGUAGAGACAACAUUUCGCCAUGUUAGCCAGGCUGGUCUUGAACUCCUGACCUCAGGUGAUCCGCCUGCCUUGACUUCCCAAAGUGCUGGGAUUACAGGUGUGAACCACUGCGCCUGGGCUAGAUCACUUUUUGAUUCAGUCUCUUUGAACAGUUUCCAAAAGGAUCCCAGCAUAGGGGCAGAGUGCUUAUAAUUAUUGACUUCGGAGACAGUUUGGUAGUAAUUUUCUUGUAUGUUACCAUCAGGCCUAUCACACAAGUAAACACUUUUUUGUUUGUUUUUUUGAGACAGAGUCUCUCUCUGUUGCCAGGCUGGAGUGCAGUGGCACUAUCUCGGCCCACUGUAACCUCCGCCUCCCGGGUUCAAGCAAUUCUCCCACCUCAGCCUCCUGAGUAGCUGGGACUACAGGUGCGCACCACCACGCCCAGCUAAUUUUUGUAUUUUUAGUAGAGAUGGGAUUUCACCAUAUUGGGCAGGAUGGUCUCAAUCUCUUGACCUCAUGAUCCACCCGCCUUGGGCCCCCAAAGUGCUGGGAUUACAGGUAUGAGCCACCAUGCCCAGCCCACAAGUAGACACUUUUAUAUAGCCACACAGAUUAUUUGUGAUUUUCUAGAAUAAACAGUUUGUUAGGAUUUGAAUUAUGACCUUGCGUUCAGUGUGGUGUUUAAAAAAACUCCGAUUACUCAAAUUGGUUUUGUUUUUUCUGUUGUUGUUUUGAGAUGGAGUCUCGCUCUUGUUGCCCAGCUGGGAGUGCAGUGGUGCGAUCUUGGCUCACUGCAACCUCAGCCUCCAGGGUUCAAGCGAGUCUCCUGCCUCAGCCUCCCGAGUAGCUAGGAUUACAGGCAUGCGCCACCUCGCCUGGCUAAUUUUGUAUUUUCAGUAGAGACGGGAUUUCUCCAUGUUGGUCAGGCUGGUCUCAAACUCGACCUCAGGUGAGCCGCCUGCCUCAGCCUCCCAAAGUGCUGGGAUUACAGGCAUGAGCCACCGUGCCCGGCCUAUUAAAUUGUAAGCAGUUAUCAUGCUCACAUGUAUAUUACACUUGUCUUAUAAAACUUACAAGGGAAAAAAUUGUUAUAAAAUUUUCAUUCUACAAAGUAAUUUGUGUGUAUUCACGUGAGAGGUUGCCAAAGUUGGUAAGAUAUCGGGAGACAUGGCUUUUAGGUUCCAUAACCUAGUAGUGGUAUACUUUUUUGUUUGUUUGUUUUGAGACGGAGUCUCGCUCUGUUGCCCAGGCUGGAGUGCAGUGGCACAGUCUCUGCUCACUGCAACCUUCUCUUUCUAGGCUCAAGCGAUUCCCCUGCCUCAGCCUCCCGAAUAGCUGGGAUUACGGGCUCCUGCCACCAUGCCUGGCUAUUUUUUUGUAUUUUUAGUAGAGAUGGGGAUUCGCCAUCUUGGCCAGGCCAGUCUCGAACUCCUGAUCUCAGGUGAGGUCAGGAGGUUAUCAGCCUGCCUCAGCCUCCCAAAGUGCUGGGGUUACAGAUAUGAGCCACUGCACCUGGCCAACUUUUUAAAACUCUGUAAGAUAAAAUGGAAUGUAAUUGAAAUGAUCACACUUAAUUGGAGUUGGACUUUUUCUCAUGAGUCCAACCUACCUUUCAUAUAGGCAGGAAAAAAUGCUGGCAUUUGUAUAAAAAACAAGCUUUUGUGCUAGACUCUGUCCAAGGCAUUUUAAAUUGUGUUACAAUAUCCACCCAGCUGACCUUAGAGAUAGAUGACCUUUCCUUUCCCUGAGAGCUGGUAGAGCUAAUGAGGCUCAAGGCUUAGAUAUAACCCUCCUGCUGUUGGCUCCAGAGCCUGUGCUGUACUAGGUUUGUUGCCUGCUCAAGGCACAAAUCAGUCAGUGGUAAGUGCGGCCCUGGAAUCCAUAUCUUCCUGCUGUGCCCCUCUUUUUUUUUUUUUUUAAUUUUAAAGCUAUGAUGAACCUGAAAUCUAGAUUUAGGUGAAAUACUGGAAAGGGUGGUUUUUGUGACUGCUUAUGGUUUUGUGACCCCCUGGGAGUUCCCUAAACUUUUACCUUGCCCAUACUUGGUCAGUUUUGCCAGUGUACUUGAGAUUUAAUCUGUGAAAAAAUUUCUCUUUUCAUACUUAAUUCCGUCAUUCUGUCCUGAGCUGAAAACUUUGGUAUCAGCUUAAAGAGUAACAUAAUACGUAAAGGGCUAUCUCUUCCUGACUAGUUUACAAUGCACUAGAAUCAUUUUGUAUGGUGACUGCUCUCACUCAGUUCGACUGGGUGGGACUCAAAAGAUAUAUUUACCAAAGACAGUUCUUUCCACAGUAUGCCUUAAGCCUUCUUACUCAUGGGGACUUUGUGUUCAAGGCACCUUAGUACUCAUUCAUUCUGUCUGGGGCUUUGUCUCUGCUGUCUUCAUUUUCUUUUUGUGGAGGUAAAAAAGUAACAAGAUAAAGCAAAACAAUAAAACCAUUGAAGUAAAACGGUACAUGACAGUGAUACCUUUGAAAUACAGUAAGCCUGGGCAACAUAGUGAGACCUGGUCUCUGCAAAAUAAAAAAGGCCAGAUGUGACGUGGGUGCCUGUAGUCCAGACUAUUCAGGAGGCUGAGGUGUGAGGAUCAUUUGAACCUGAGAGGUUGAGGCUACAGUGAGCCAUGUUGUUGCCAUUGUACUCCAGCCUGGGAGACAGAGCAAGAUCCUGUCCAAAAAAAGAAGAAAAAGAAUACAGUAUACUGAAAUCAAGGUAUUUAUAGUUAGUAGAGCAUAAUUUGGUCACAUUGCACUGGAUAGUUUUUGAUUAUUGGUUAGGCUGUUGAAAGUCCUGUAAUACCCUUGGUACAUGUGGUAUGGGUGAAAAGGUUCUCAUGGCGACAAACACAAUCAGUACUUUCUGUGUAAGAGCAAUGUUUGCUUUUUGGGUAAUAUGCGUGACCCAGCAGGAAGAUGAACUAUAACAUGAGUUAGCUGGUAUAUCCGUGGCUUAUUAUCUGGUGUUUCAUAGUGGGGAAUUAAAACUACUAGGGAAAAUAUCAUUAUUGCAGUAUGCAUAUGUAAGCUGUUCUAUAGGAAAGAGUAGAAAUUCAUUGGAACAUUUGAUAUCAGUAUGAUUGGAAGAUGGUUUCCACUUUUGAAUGUCAUGUCCCUGAAUGUGGAUUAAGGUCCGCGUGCAUGUGUGUGCUAAUUUGCAUUAACAAGUAUUUACAGGCAUUCUAAGUAUGGGAAAUGUGAUGGUGGGCAAGAAAGAGCCUACUCUGGAGACAGACUGUAAACAGUAAAUAAAAAUGUCAGGUGAUGAUAAUAGCGGUGAAGAAAAUAAGAAAACAAUGUGAAAUAACUCAGGGGAUGUUACUUUAGAGUGGUCACAAAGAUAAUCCCUGUUCUGAAGCCUUUUCUGCCAGUAGGGCAGUCGAACUUGAUCUGUGGGCUGGAUGAAAAUGACAUUAAACAAAGUAAAUAAUUUGUUUAGCCCUGAGCAUCUUGAGAAGUUAAUCCAAAGGAUGGAAGUGGGCUGGUUGAAGUGUUCCCUCUGUUUAUAUCUUUUUGGUUUGUGAAUAGGGACCUGGCUCAAAAGAGCUUAAGGGAGAUCAUUAGUGGUACCUUGUAAAGGCUAAGAAAGAGGAGUGUUGUCUGCUUUUUUUAAAAAAUCAUCCUGAUAAAAAAUGUGGAGAUGUAUUGUAAUAUUGGUGAGUGUUAGACAGUGUA